CCUACGGGAGGCAGCAGUGAGGAAUAUUGGUCAAUGGACGAGAGUCUGAACCAGCCAAGUAGCGUGAAGGAUGACUGCCCUAUGGGUUGUAAACUUCUUUUAUAUGGGAGUAAAGUGCUCCACGCGUGGCACUUUGUAUGUACCCUAUGAAUAAGGAUCGGCUAACUCCGUGCCAGCAGCCGCGGUAAUACGGAGGAUCCGAGCGUUAUCCGGAUUUAUUGGGGUUAAAGGGGGCGUAGGCGGAUUGUUAAGUCAGUUGUGAAAGUUUACGGCUCAACCGUAAAAUUGCAGUUGAAACUGGCAGUCUUGAGUGCGGUAGAGGUAGGCGGAAUGCGUGGUGUAGCGGUGAAAUGCUUAGAUAUCACGAAGAACUCCGAUUGCGAAGGCAGCGCACUGGACUGCAACUGACACUGAGGCACGAAAGUGUGGGUAUCAAACAGGAUUAGAUACCCGAGUAGUC
rnacentral:rRNA from 1 species